rnacentral:tRNA from 1 species
UCCCCGUUCGUCUAAUGGUAGGACAUCCGCCCUUACAGUCGGGAAAUCCAGGUCCGAAUCCUGGCCGGGGAACCA